rnacentral:rRNA from 1 species
AUUGAACGCUGGCGGCAGGCCUAACACAUGCAAGUCGAGCGAGCGGCGGACGGGUGAGUAAUGUCUGGGAAACUGACUGAUGGAGGGGGAUAACUACUGGAAACGGUAGCUAAUACCGCAUACCAUCAGAUGUGCCCAGAUGGGAUUAGCUAGUAGGUGGGGUAACGGCUCACCUCGGCGACGAUCCCUAGCUGGUCUGAGAGGAUGACCAGCCACACUGGGACUGCGACGCGUUCCAGUCUCCUACGUGAGGCAGCAGUGGUGAAUAUUGCACGAUGUGCGCAGGCCUGAUGCAGCCAUGCCGCGUGUGUGAAGAAGGCCUUCGGUUUGUAAAGCACUUUCAGCGGGGAUGCGUUUCCCGCAGAAGAAGCACCGGCUAACUCCGUGCCAGCAGCCGCAGUAAUAC